GUCGUACGAGUUCUCGUUGAAUCUCGGUGCUUGCACCGAGAUUCAACAUGGAACGAGUGGCGGACGGGUGAGUAACACGUGGGUAACCUGCCCUUAAGUGGGGGAUAACAUUUGGAAACAGAUGCUAAUACCGCAUAGAUCCAAGAACCGCAUGGUUCUUGGCUGAAAGAUGGCGUAAGCUAUCGCUUUUGGAUGGACCCGCGGCGUAUUAGCUAGUUGGUGAGGUAAUGGCUCACCAAGGCGAUGAUACGUAGCCGAACUGAGAGGUUGAUCGGCCACAUUGGGACUGAGACACGGCCCAAACUCCUACGGGAGGCAGCAGUAGGGAAUCUUCCACAAUGGACGCAAGUCUGAUGGAGCAACGCCGCGUGAGUGAAGAAGGCUUUCGGGUCGUAAAACUCUGUUGUUGGAGAAGAAUGGUCGGCAGAGUAACUGUUGUCGGCGUGACGGUAUCCAACCAGAAAGCCACGGCUAACUACGUGCCAGCAGCCGCGGUAAUACGUAGGUGGCAAGCGUUAUCCGGAUUUAUUGGGCGUAAAGCGAGCGCAGGCGGUUUUUUAAGUCUGAUGUGAAAGCCCUCGGCUUAACCGAGGAAGCGCAUCGGAAACUGGGAAACUUGAGUGCAGAAGAGGACAGUGGAACUCCAUGUGUAGCGGUGAAAUGCGUAGAUAUAUGGAAGAACACCAGUGGCGAAGGCGGCUGUCUGGUCUGUAACUGACGCUGAGGCUCGAAAGCAUGGGUAGCGAACAGGAUUAGAUACCCUGGUAGUCCAUGCCGUAAACGAUGAAUGCUAGGUGUUGGAGGGUUUCCGCCCUUCAGUGCCGCAGCUAACGCAUUAAGCAUU
rnacentral:rRNA from 1 species